AUAAAACUGAUCACAGAUGGAGAUUGCUGCAGCUCUCACCUCACACCAAGUGGAGCACGGAUGUACAGACCUGGACUCAGUCUGGAGCAAAAUGUGAAAAAGAAAACGAAUUCCAGCUCUUCACAAUAAAA